rnacentral:lncRNA from 1 species
CUAGAUGGGACAUUGGCAGUGUUUUAGUGCGUGCGACUGGCCGCCAUGUUUGUGAGGGCGAGAAUCUGCGGCGCUGUGUAAACACUACGGGAGGAGGGGGGUAUUUGAGGCUGAUUUUGUGGUAUUUUUCGACCGAAAAGUGCUAAUCUUUUUUGCUCACGGCAUUCUUUGGAAUGUGUAGAUUGUGGAACAAGUGCUGAAAUAUGCUUAUCUAUUGUAAUUUGGCUACGUUAGCCUUAGACAUGUUGCACUGUUGACGCUGAUGAAGAAUAGGUGGCACCAAAGGUGGCUGGAACAACCCCAGUGCCGCACAGUUCUGCGGGAUAUUCCGGCACCUGCUCUACCGCUGCGGCGUCCGGCCCGGCAGCACCGGGAACGUGGCAGCCCUCGACCCGACCAGCAUCCUGGCAGUCGGUCACACGACCACCGGACGGGGAGCCAGCCUUACUACCUCGGCCUCCACCACCUCAGACAACGGUGCCACGGCACUCCACAUCAUCACGGAGCACGACUUCCAGCCUGGGCUGUCGUCUGGUGGGCUACAUCGCCACCUACCUCGCAGAGUUCGUGGUGAAGAAGGCGCUCGACUCUGUCAGCUGUAGCACCUGUCAGGAGGCCCUGGUGAGCGACAUCCAGCCGGACGACAUGACACAGCUUUACCACCUCUUCAUCAUCUCUGCCAGAUGAUCUAAGGUGGGGACGGGUCACAUGCCUGGGAUCUGACUGAGACCCGCUCAUACCCCGCCGAAGUGUUGGUGAUUUCAGCGGUCAGCUGUCUCUAGCCGGUGUCAGUGAGUCGCGGCCAGCUGCCGCUGGAGUGGGUAUCUACCGUCGAUAGCUGCUGUGUGGCGGAUAGCGUGGAUUUGGAUGGACACUUCAUAUUAAUGAACAGAUCAAUGUCUGGCCGAUAAAAGACGUAUUUUGUCGAUGAUUGCUUAGUGACUGAGUGGGUCCACUGGCGCCCAAUGCAGUGGGCGCUGGGUUACCGCCUCGCCUCUUGUGACCGUGUCGAUAUGUAGCACUGUUAGUUGCCGAUUCGUUGCCGGCCGUCUCUGCUCCGUGGCUGGCUGAUCCGGCACAAACUGGUGUUCGUGGCUGAAGGCGCGGCUUACAGUUACACUAGCUCGCCACGUGCCUGUGCGGCUAUCGUCGGUGCUGCCUGCAAGGGCGAUGUCGGUGCCUGUAGGGGGCGCGGAUUGAUUCAAAGUGAGGAAUAGGUCAUCGGAGCUCGGGUCAGGUCAUGUUCGGCUAAAAUAAGCGGAUUUUGCGAUUUGCCGCAUCCGGGUGAGUUUCCUUGCCUUCUAGUGCAUGUUUAUGCAUUUCACAUACGUUUUUUUAGUGUUGAUGUCUAGAUAACGUGCAUUUGCCUCGAGGUCAAGGCUGCGCUUCAUAUGGGCAGUUUUCGGAGCAUCUUGCUCAUUUUAUUCGUAAUCCUUAAUUAUGUUUGCGGAUUUGUGCCCGCAAAUCAUUUUUUUAAAGUAAGAUUGACACGGGAUUCGAGAUCGGCGCCCAUAAAUACACUUCACAUGACC